rnacentral:rRNA from 1 species
CAGGCCUAACACAUGCAAGUCGAGGGGUAGAAAUAGCUUGCUAUUUUGAGACCGGCGCACGGGUGCGUAACGCGUAUGCAAUCUGCCUUUUACAGGGGAAUAGCCCAGAGAAAUUUGGAUUAAUGCCCCAUACCACUGCAGGACGGCAUCGUCCAGCAGUUAAAGUCACAACGGUAAAAGAUGAGCAUGCGUCCCAUUAGCUAGUUGGUAAGGUAACGGCUUACCAAGGCGAUGAUGGGUAGGGGUCCUGAGAGGGAGAUCCCCCACACUGGUACUGAGACACGGACCAGACUCCUACGGGAGGCAGCAGUGAGGAAUAUUGGACAAUGGGCGCAAGCCUGAUCCAGCCAUGCCGCGUGCAGGAUGAAGCAUCUAUGGUGUGUAAACUGCUUUUAUACAGGGAAGAAAUCCCUGGGACGCGUCCCAGACUGACGGUACUGUAGGAAUAAGGACCGGCUAACUCCGUGCCAGCAGCCGCGGUAAU